UACGGAGGGUGCGAGCGUUGUUCGGAUUUACUGGGCGUAAAGGGCGCGCAGGCGGUCUUGAAAGUCAGGCGUGAAAGCCCCGGGCUUAACCUGGGAAUUGCGCUUGACACUCUGAGACUGGAGUACGGGAGAGGAGAGUGGAAUUCCCAGUGUAGAGGUGAAAUUCGUAGAUAUUGGGAAGAACACCAGUGGCGAAGGCGGCUCUCUGGACCGUAACUGACGCUGAGGCGCGAAAGCGUGGGGAGCAAACAGG
rnacentral:rRNA from 1 species